AGUCAAGUAAUUAAGUGCAUGUGGUGGAUGCCUUGGCAGUCAGAGGCGAUGAAAGACGUGAUAGCCUGCGAAAAGCUCCGGGGAGGCGGCAAAUAUCCUUUGAUCCGGAGAUGUCUGAAUGGGGGAACCCACCUACUUUAAGGUAGGUAUUGCAACAUGAAUACAUAGUGUUGCAAGGCGAACGAGGGGAAGUGAAACAUCUCAGUACCCUUAGGAAAAGAAAUCAAUUGAGAUUCCCUCAGUAGCGGCGAGCGAACGGGGAUCAGCCCAUUAAGUUAUGUGUGUUUUAGUGGAACGCUCUGGGAAGUGCGAACGUAGAGGGUGAUAUUCCCGUACACGAAAGGGCACACAUAAUGAUGACGAGUAGGGCGAGGCACGUGAAACCUUGUCUGAAUAUGGGGGGACCAUCCUCCAAGGCUAAAUACUCCUGACUGACCGAUAGUGAACCAGUACCGUGAGGGAAAGGCGAAAAGAACCCCUGUGAGGGGAGUGAAAUAGAUCCUGAAACCGCAUGCAUACAAGCAGUGGGAGCACCUUCGUGGUGUGACUGCGUACCUUUUGUAUAAUGGGUCAGCGACUUAUAUUCAGUAGCGAGGUUAACCGUAUAGGGGAGCCGUAGAGAAAUCGAGUCUUAAUAGGGCGUUUAGUUGCUGGGUAUAGACCCGAAACCAGGCGAUCUAUCCAUGAGCAGGUUGAAGGUUGGGUAACACUAACUGGAGGACCGAACCCACUGUCGUUGAAAAGCCAGGGGAUGACUUGUGGAUAGGGGUGAAAGGCUAAUCAAGCCUGGUGAUAGCUGGUUCUCCCCGAAAGCUAUUUAGGUAGCGCCUCGGACGAAUACCAUAGGGGGUAGAGCACUGUUUCGGCUAGGGGGUCAUCCCGACUUACCAAACCGAUGCAAACUCCGAAUACCUAUGAGUACUAUCCGGGAGACAGACUGCGGGUGCUAACGUCCGUAGUCAAGAGGAAAACAAUCCAGACCGCCAGCUAAGGCCCCAAAAUCAUAGUUAAGUGGGAAACGAUGUGGGAAGGCAUAGACAGCUAGGAGGUUGGCUUAGAAGCAGCCACCCUUUAAAGAAAGCGUAAUAGCUCACUAGUCGAGUCGGCCUGCGCGGAAGAUGUAACGGGGCUAAAACUAUGUGCCGAAGCUGCGGAUGUAUACUUUGUAUACGUGGUAGGGGAGCGUUCUGUAAGCCGAUGAAGGUGUGUUGAGAAGCAUGCUGGAGGUAUCAGAAGUGCGAAUGCUGACGUGAGUAACGACAAAACGGGUGAAAAACCCGUUCGCCGAAAGACCAAGGGUUCCAGUCCAACGUUAAUCGGGGCUGGGUGAGUCGACCCCUAAGGCGAGGCCGAAAGGCGUAGUCGAUGGGAAAAUGGUUAAUAUUCCAUUACUUCUGUGUAAUGCGAUGAGAGGACGGAGAAGGCUAAAUCAGCCUGGCGUUGGUUGUCCAGGUGAAAGGAUGUAGGCAUGUAUCUUAGGCAAAUCCGGGGUACUCUAUGCUGAGAUCUGAUAGCAAGCUGUACUUGUACAGCGAAGUGGUUGAUGCCAUGCUUCCAGGAAAAGUCUCUAAGCUUCAGUUACACAGGAAUCGUACCCGAAACCGACACAGGUGGUCAGGUCGAGUAGACCAAGGCGCUUGAGAGAACUCUGCUGAAGGAACUAGGCAAAAUGGUACCGUAACUUCGGGAGAAGGUACGCUGUUGUUGGUGAUGGAACUCGCUUCCUGAGCUGACGACAGCCGCAGAAACCAGGCCGCUGCAACUGUUUAUUAAAAACAUAGCACUCUGCAAACACGAAAGUGGACGUAUAGGGUGUGAUGCCUGCCCGGUGCUGGAAGGUUAAUUGAUGGGGUUAGCGUAAGCGAAGCUCUUGAUCGAAGCCCCAGUAAACGGCGGCCGUAACUAUAACGGUCCUAAGGUAGCGAAAUUCCUUGACGGGUAAGUUCCGACCUGCACGAAUGGCAUAAUGAUGGCGGCGCUAUCUCCAGCAGAGGCUCAGUGAAAUCGAAAUCGCUGUGAAGAUGCAGUGUACCCGCGGCUAGACGGAAAGACCCCGUGAACCUUUACUGCAGCUUGACACUGAACUUUGACCUUACUUGUGUAGGAUAGGUGGGAGGCUUUGAAGCUGGAACGCUAGUUCCAGUGGAGCCGUCCUUGAAAUACCACCCUGGUAAUGUUGAGGUUCUAACUCUGUCCCGUCGAUCCGGGACGAGGACCGUGUCUGGUGGGUAGUUUGACUGGGGCGGUCUCCUCCUAAAGAGUAACGGAGGAGUACGAAGGUGCGCUCAGCGUGGUCGGAAAUCACGCGUAGAGUAUAAAGGCAAAAGCGCGCUUAACUGCGAGACCCACAAGUCGAGCAGGUACGAAAGUAGGUCUUAGUGAUCCGGUGGUUCUGUAUGGAAGGGCCAUCGCUCAACGGAUAAAAGGUACUCUGGGGAUAACAGGCUGAUACCGCCCAAGAGUUCAUAUCGACGGCGGUGUUUGGCACCUCGAUGUCGGCUCAUCUCAUCCUGGGGCUGAAGCAGGUCCCAAGGGUAUGGCUGUUCGCCAUUUAAAGAGGUACGCGAGCUGGGUUUAGAACGUCGUGAGACAGUUCGGUCCCUAUCUACCGUGGGCGCUGGAAAUUUGAGAGGAUCUGCUCCUAGUACGAGAGGACCAGAGUGGACGAACCUCUGGUGUACCGGUUGUGACGCCAGUCGCAUCGCCGGGUAGCUAUGUUCGGAAGGGAUAACCGCUGAAAGCAUCUAAGCGGGAAGCCUACCUCAAGAUAAGAUUUCCCUAGGACUUUAUGUCCUCUAAAGAGCCGUUCGAGACUAGGACGUUGAUAGGUUGGAUGUGGAAGCAUAGUGAUAUGUGAAGCUGACCAAUACUAAUUGCUCGUGAGGCUUGACUAUACAACACCC
rnacentral:rRNA from 1 species